AGAGCAUGAAGACAAGGAAUGUAGAGA
rnacentral:piRNA from 1 species